GUCUAUGGCCAUACCACCCUGAACGCGCCCCAUCUCGUCUGAUCUCGGAAGCUAAGCAGGGUCAGGCCUGGUUAGUACUUGGAUGGGAGACCAAUGCAUAAAAUUUAUAACUAAAUAAA
ensembl:rRNA 5S_rRNA 5S ribosomal RNA